AUCCAGUCUGUUAUCGCCUGGACUUACCGGCUAAUAUGAGGAUACCCAAUUCCUUUCAUGUUUCUCUUCUGAAACCUUUGAUUUGUAAUCGCUUUACUCGGAAACCCAGGACUCCUCUUUCUACACUCAUUGAUGGCCAAGACGAGUACGAGGUUAAAUCUAUUUUAGACUCUCGUGUCUCUAGAGGUCGGCUCCAGUAUCUAUUGGAUUGGAAGGGAUACGGCCCCGAGGAAAGGUCAUGGGUGGAUGCCUCGGACGUGCACGCGCCUCGCCUAGUCCGUUCCUUUGCUAGGCAUCGUUCUCGCGGGCCCUGUCCUCCCCGCCCUGGGGGCGGUCCUCGAGGGGGGGUACUGUGACGAUACCUUACCUG